rnacentral:misc_RNA from 1 species
GCAUUUGAUCCCUACUAAUUGAGUAAUCCAACAACCAUCAUGUAGUACAGACCUUUGAUCAAACAUUUCCCAAAAUAGUACAAAGUUUUCAUACUACAAAGGAUAUAUCAACAAGAUGAACAAAAAGAGACCUUAAGACAUUCAAUCUUCUCCCAUCUCACCUUUAAUUACCAUUCUAAGAAUACCAUUUUUCAUUUGUGCUUCAACCUUCUCAGCUUUACAGCAAUCAGUGCUAAACUCGAGACUCCCUCCGUAUUUCCUCCCUGAUUCCUCAGAUUCCACUUCAAUGUCUCCUUUGCCAGUGAAGUAAACCGUGUUGUUCUCUAACCAGACCUUAAUCCCAUCUUCACCAACGCUAGGCAUUGCCACUCUCACAAGUAUACCAUCCUUCAGUGUAUCCACUUCUAGCACCUCUUUCGGUCCUGCUGACUGAAACGGGUUCUCCAUCUUGAAUUCUUGUGGAGAACCCGUCACCAGAAUUGGCUCAGUAGAGUUUUUCUGCUCAUUGCUCAGGGAAUUUGAAUCUGCAGUUGUAAUGGAGGAAAAAAAGCGUGUGAUUGAAGGAGCGGCGGUAGUAAAUUUGGAUUUAGAGCUGAGUAAUUUGAACAGUGUCGAUGCUCCGGCGGCUUUUCUGAUAGUCAGAGCCAUUGACAUUUUCCCCGAUCAAUU